UCCGGCUUAUCACCGGCAGUCCCCCUAGAGUGCCCAACUGAAUGAUGGCAACUAAGGGCGAGGGUUGCGCUCGUUGCGGGACUUAACCCAACAUCUCACGACACGAGCUGACGACAGCCAUGCAGCACCUGUGUGUAGGUCCCGUAAGGGAAGGAAUCCAUCUCUGGAAACCGUCCUACCAUGUCAAACGCUGGUAAGGUUCUGCGCGUUGCUUCGAAUUAAUCCACAUAAUCCACCGCUUGUGCGGGUCCCCGUCAAUUCCUUUGAGUUUUAACCUUGCGACCGUACUCCCCAGGCGGUCUACUUCUCGCGUUAGCUGCGUUACUAAGGGAUUUAACUCCCCCAACAACUAGUAGACAUCGUUUAGGGCGUGGACUAC
rnacentral:misc_RNA from 1 species